UACGAAGGGGGGCUAGCGUUGUUCGGAAUUACUGGGCGUAAAGCGUGCGCAGGCGGCUUCUCAAGUCAGGGGUGAAAGACGGUAGCUUAACUAUCGCAGUGCCUUUGAUACUGAUGGGCUUGAAUGUAGUUGAGGUAGGCGGAAUGUGACAAGUAGCGGUGAAAUGCAUAGAUAUGUCACAGAACACCAAUUGCGAAGGCAGCUUACUAAAGUAUGAUUGACGCUGAGGCACGAAAGCGUGGGGAUCAAACAGG
rnacentral:rRNA from 1 species